rnacentral:tRNA from 1 species
GGCUCGUUGGUCUAGGGGUAUGAUUCUCGCUUUGGGUGCGAGAGGUCUCGGUUUCAAAUCCCGGACGAGCCC